CUCCUUUUAUAUUACACGUUAAGAUAUGUGAUGAGUUUUUACAAUUAGCUGUAAAAGUUCAGAACAUUUCUUCAAGCCUUUGUGAACACUAUGGGAGGAGACUGUGGCCUCCCAGGGGUUUCUGGACCACAGGAGCAGUCUGAAUAUCUCUUGGGCAUGCCGAAGGUCUCGAGGAUUGAAACCUUUCCCAGCUCUGCAGUAGAUGUUCACUUCAUUACAUACUCUGUAUGAACCUUGGACAAGCUUCAUGUGUUUAGGUCUGAGAAUCAAGUACAUCCAACUCUGAUCAUAAGUGGAAUCGGCUCAAGACCUUUCUAAAAUGUGGAGAUAAGUGCCCUUGGCUGUGAUUAUUUGUUUGUUUUUCCAGGUUCUUUCUUCCACCGUACAGUUUCUCUUUUGUCUAGUUUUUCAGCAGUAAGCUUUCAGCAGGGAUCUGUUUUAUUCCUUCGUGUAACACACCAUGUACAUUGAUGGGGCUAUAUAAAUAAUUAAUAGCAAUAAUAAUCACAUGAAUCUGGGGCAUCAGUGUGAUAUCUCAUUAAGGAAGGUGACUUACUGAUGCAGUAACAGAGGAGCACUUAUAACAUCUUGUGGUGUAGAGCUUUUAUAUACAACAAAAGCUGUAAUUUGCUGUUGCUUUUUCUUUCUUUCUUUCUUUAAAUAAUAACUUCACCAUUCACUUGCCAGUUGAAUUCAGAAUUAUAUCAGUUACUCUUGCAACUCUUUGGGGAAAGAUUGGCUUUACUUGUGAAAUCUGAAUAGGCUUUUAUCUCUGUGUCACUCUGAUGCCAGCAAAGAAUUUAAGAACAGUCCACUUCCUGAAUUUUCAGUUCACUGAGCUUUAGAUUGAUAGGUUUCUAUAAUUUAAAACCAACCACAUUUUCACCAUUGGAGGGAAACAUACUGAAGAAACUAGAUGGUGGCUUGAUUCAAUCUAUUGCAUAUACAUAAGCAAGCAUGGCAGCUAGAUCAGUAGGGCCAAGCAUGAUGUUGCAUUUGUACACUAUCAAAUAGUCACACAGGGCGACGACAAUAAAUAAACAGAUGUUUUGCUCAGAGUCUCUUAGUUGUGUAGACUUUUUGGAAAUGAUCAUGAUGUUUAUAUUUCU